rfam:Schistosoma margrebowiei strain Zambia genome assembly, scaffold: SMRZ_contig0004208
AUCCUUUUGACGAGUCCCAAAUAGGGUGAAACGCGCAUCAUGGAU